UACGUAGGGUGCGAGCGUUAAUCGGAAUUACUGGGCGUAAAGCGUGCGCAGGUGGUUUUUUAAGUCAGACGUGAAAUCCCCGGGCUUAACCUGGGAACUACGUUUGAAACUGGAAGACUAGAGUGUGGCAGAGGGGGGUGGAAUUCCUGGUGUAGCAGUGAAAUGCGUAGAGAUCAGGAGGAACACCGAUGGCGAAGGCAGCCCCCUGGGCUAACACUGACGCUCAUGCACGAAAGCGUGGGGAGCAAACAGG
rnacentral:rRNA from 1 species